GCUCACUUCCAAUGGACAGUGGAAGUGAUUGUUUAGGCUGGAAUGUAGAUAUCCCCUUGUUUCUUUGUUGCACACUGUCUCGAUCAUAUGGCAGUUGUUUGGCUAUGUAUUACCUCUAGUUGCUAUUCUCCACACCUUUUACCAUCUCUGACCAGGGGGCCCACAAAACUUUUAAAAUAAAACAGAAGUUGGCUAAGAAGAUGAAACAGAAUCGUCCUAUUCCACAGUGGAUUCGGAUGAAAACUGGAAACAACAUCAGG